UUUUACAACAAUAUGGCGGCAAAAGACGGCGGAAAUUAAUGAUUUAUUCAUAGCGAAUGAUAACUCACCAUGACCUUGUAUAUGCCACCGUUACAGCGAAAGAAAAGGGUGCCUAAUCGAUAUAAUCCGGACUCUUUUCGUGUCAUAAGUGAUGAAGCUGAAACAACUCGUGAAAGAUUCUCAGGAAAUCCACACUACAGCCCACCGUCACCAGAGAGGUUUGAGAAGGGAAUAUCUCUGCCCAAUAUUUACAACCGAAGCACACAGGUGCUACCAAAACCUGUACCAGAUUUCAGAGCCAACAAUCCCCAUCCUAGAAGCUGUGGGUUCUUGAGGCAUGAUGUCAGACUGCUUAAUGAGCCUAUCUGUAGUGUUUACACAUCAGUUACACACGAUGAACAAAAUCAAUGGUGGCCUUCGCGAACCUCUGAUGAACCUCUACAGGUCCCGGGUAAAACGAAGGACACAGUUUACCGCAGUGAUUACAUGAGGGAGCAUAAUGAGCCAUUACACAGGACAACUAGACAUGAAUCCAACAGCUCUAGAGAUGCCGCUCUAGGCCCAGGUAUCAUUACACAUAACUUGCAGUAUUGAUGAUUGAUCAAUACCCAUAAAGAAUCCAGGGAACAAAAACUAGUGUUUUUGGUUCACCAUCUUUUCAUUUUCUUAAAAUAAAUUAUAAGCUAAUGUCCAUAUUGUUAUGUUAAGAUAUAUUGAAACGGCUGGCUAGCUACGAAGUACAGGAAGGUAUGUAGAAAAUAACAGUAAGACUGGUUUAACAUUAAUGUAGUAAUGUUCUAUAUGUUUGUUUUAAUUACAAGAUAAUUAUAUAUAGAUGUGUCACUAAUCCAUGUAAAGUAUGAAAGCUUGUAGAAGAAGUGUUGAACCAGUCUUUAUGUACUUUUGAUUUCUUAAUUGCCAGGUGGUUCAUAGGAUGUGUAUGUGUGUGUGCUAGCUUUUACAUCGAAGUAACAAAACUUCAGGCUUUGCGGUUUGGUGUUUGAAUCGUGAUACGUACAUGUACAUGUAGUACAGUGUUUCAAUGCAUUGUUUAAGAUUAAUAUGCUUAAUCUAGCAUUAAAGUAUGUAAAGUAUGCAACAGAUUAUAGAAAAAUACUGCAUGUAACAGUAUAAUUAACAAAUCAAUAUACAUAUAUACUCUUUAUCAACAAAAAUAACACAAAUUGUAACUUUAUUUUGUAUUUUUGUUACUGAUUAAUUAUGGUAGUUGCUUUAAUAAUUAAUUCAGUGCAAUCACUUUAAAAUUUAUUGACAUUUAAAGAGAUCAGAUAAAACAAUAUAUGUUAUAACUACUAAAAAUAAAACAAGGUAAAAAUUGAUUCUACUUUAUAAAAUGCAUUGUGAGUGUAAACAGCAUUUAAUUCUAAGUUAAUAAAUAUAAUCUAAACUAAUGGUAAUAUAUUUGCCAAAGUAUGCGAGAACUGAUAAGGGAAAAAGACCCCCAGUGAUGCCUUUAUAGAAUAUUAUAGUUAAUAUAGCAUAAUUUAUCAAAAUGUUCCAUUGUUAAAUUUUUGAUGAUAACAUUUAUCUGCAGUCCCUGUGAACUUCUUGACAAAAAGAGAUGGCACUCAAAGAAUUUUCCAGGAGAAGAAGUCAUUCGAGCAUGAUUACAACUCCAGAAAAGACACAAACUAUCCAGUUAGAGGAAAGAGGCUGGGAAGCUUUGUUUGGGAUGAGAUGAAUCCAGAUUUAGCUCAGCGGUUUGUGGAUCAACACACCAAUCUGUUGGAGGCCAAAGAGAAAUUUGAAGCUUGUCAAUCACAGAACGCCCACUCGUCUGCACCAAAUAGGACUCCUCCUCAGCAACAGGCCCCUCCCAACAACUCACAAGCUCAAAAUAAUAUACCUAACAAUAAUGUUAAAACCGUCACUUUCCAAGAGCCUCCAAAUACAAGUCAACAAAACUAGUAUACAUAUUGCUGUUAGUUUUAACUAUAUUUCUAUUUAUUCAAUUUAAUAUGUAUUUUAAGAAGGAUUUAUUUCAUAUUAAUCAGAUAUAUCUUACAUGAUAAAAUAUGAUCAUGCAAUACUGUAUGAUAUAUUAUACUUAUCUGUGUGAAUGAAAGAGAGCUAUUCCCAGCAAUAUAAAUCUUUGCAUUUUAACAUUAGAAACCAGGGUUAAAAUCUGUGAUAAAACCAAUUCAUAAUGUCAAUUCUGUAAGAACACAGGGUAUAUAAUGCAACAUUAGUUAGCAUUUGAUAUCAUAAUUGUUAUUAUUGAUAUUUCGAAUGCCUAGCUUAAGAAGCGCACACUGUAUUGUAUACAGUUAUGUGCAGUUGUUGAAAUGACAGUAUUUAAAUUAUUCUUGAAACUUCUGAAGAAGCCUUUGGAGUUGCUGCAUUGUUGUUGAUGUACAAAGGGUAUUGACAGAUCUGUGACUGCUGAGUGUUUGUGAGAAUUUUCCUGCUGCUGUUUAUUUUUACUAUAUGUUUCUGUGUUGUUUUAUUGCAUAGUCUAUUUUUACUAUAUCAGUAUUUUUUCUACCCAUAUUAAAAUCAAAUACCCAUGCCUUUAUCAUUAGUCUGUGAUGUCCCGGCUCUUUUCUGUGGAUGUUCUAUCAUGUGUACAUCAUUGUUAUUACGUUUUGAGAGUAAGCUUUUUAAUAAAUUUAUCUGAUACUGUU
rnacentral:misc_RNA from 1 species